CUUCUGAAUUCAGCUCAGCAGAAAGCCAAAUACACCAUGAAGGAAGUUGGGUGUCUUUGUACCAGAUUUCCAUCACAGUGGCCUAAUCCGACUUGAGUUUGCUGAUACAGGAAGG
rnacentral:lncRNA from 14 species